AUAGAGACUCAGAGCUGCAUAUCAAUAAGCGGAGGAAAAGAAACUAACUAGGAUUCCCUUAGUAACGGCGAGUGAAGCGGGAAGAGCUCAAAUUUGAAAUCUUCAAGGUUUUACCUUGACGAAUUGUAGUUUAAAGAAGUGUUUUCUGUUGGAGUUUUGGUAAAAGUUCUUUGGAAUAGGACAUCAUAGAGGGUGAGAAUCCCGUAUUUGACCAUUAUCUCCAGCUUUGUGAUACACUUUCAAAGAGUCGGAUUGUUUGGGAAUGCAGUCCAAAAUGGGUGGUAAAUUUCAUCUAAAGCUAAAUAUUGGCGAGAGACCGAUAGCGAACAAGUACCGUGAGGGAAAGAUGAAAAGAACUUUAAAAGAGAGUUAAACAGUACGUGAAAUUGUCAAAAGGGAAGCGUUUGACACCAGUGUUGUUUUCUCGAAAAUCAAUUACAAAUGGCUGGAUUUUGUGUUGUAUUGACCUUAUCAGCUUUCUGCACUUUUUUCAUGUCUUUUUUAAUGCACUUUUCGUUUAACAAGUCAACAUCAAUUUCUUUUGUUGUAAAAGGUCAUUGGAAGGUGGCUUUCUUUUCGGAGAAAGUGUUUAUAGCCUUUGGCCUCUGCAAUCGGAGAGAUUGAGGUCUGCAGCGUAGAUCCUUCGGGGUUAGAUACAUUUGUGCUAAGUUAUAGCCUUUCAUAGACAACUUGUUGACUAUGAUCAGUCAUGUAGCUUACUCGCUUAUGCUAUUUUACCUACGCUUAGGAUGUUGACGAUCAGCUGAGCGCG
rnacentral:rRNA from 1 species